GGAUACAGGUCGCGUUGUUGUGGAUCGAUCUCCUCCACGGCGACGGCGUCGCAAAAGGCGGAUACGGGUUUGGCGGCGGCCACGAUGAUUAGCUCGUGGAGAUAUUGUGGCGAGCGACCGAGAUAUCGCAGCUAGCAAAAUCCCUACGACCACUUUCCAUGGCGGAGGAGGAGCAGGAUGGGGCCUGGGCGCACGAGAUCCCUCCAACCCAGCUGCCAAGAUCCCUCCGAGACCACGCCGACCUAAUCCGAGACUACAUGGUGCUACUUUAACUUAGAAUACAACUUGACAGUAUUCAGAACAUGGCGGUGGGAUGAUGCUGGCAGGAGGAAAAGAAGGAUGCAAUUUCUGAAGGUUUAUAUUUACUAUUUUGAGGAUGACAGGUAUGGAAUUUCGCAAUGGUACUAUGUGUCCUAUACUUAUAGUUAAGUAGCGAUGGUGGCGCAAGGGCGACAUGGUUCUAUCGACGCGGCAGCGGGGGCCGAGGAGACACAGUGCAUCCCGCACGUUUGCUUGUUGGCUGGUCUCCUAAAUACCUGCACACUACAUCUACACUAAGUCACUGAUGGUUCUUGUUUAAAAUCGUGGUCUUGAAUUCUUGAUAUGAUUACAUGUAAGCUGGGGGUAAGUAGGCAAUUAUUUCAUGUUUAAUCUUGUCACUUGGUCGGUCCAUGGAAAAUGAAAACUCCUAUAAGAAAUUAGUAAUAUAUUGUGCAGUAAAACUUCUCGGGCGCCUUUAAGCAUGAUUUAAGUGUCUACAAGAUUUAGCUUAACCAACAAUAUUUGACAAUGCUUUGAGAGAUAUUUACGUGAUGAUAGAAAUAACAACUUUUGUAACAAAUAGUUAAAUAUGAUUUGGAAUUCCUUAUUGAAAAUUUAGUAUUUUAUUUACUGAAUUUUGUUUCAGUUCAUGUUUAUCCUUUUCUAAAAAAGUUGUUUGCAUCAGAUUACUUUUUGUUUUUCGCCAUCAGACUAAUUGAGUCAGAAAAUAUAAUGCGGAGAUGGGAGGAGAAGAAAGCAAAGGAAAUUGGUAUGUGCUGUCUACCUUUAAUGGCUAGCGAAGCAAGGUGAUUGAUUCACAAAACCCAUUCCAUAUUUACCCGCUUAAAUAUACUCUUGUAUAUCACCUGAUUAACAAAAAAAAAUCUCCGUCCAAUGGAUUCCAGAAUGCUAGGCACCGCACGCUGCAGCCAAGGAUCAUGAUACUUACCUGACAAGUACUAUAAUUUCCAAGAUAGAGGCUAUGAUGCCAUGCAAUGCAUCUAACGAACCUCACUGAUGGAUUCAUUAGCAUGCAUCGACUAUUGCAGAAUUCCCAAGCCAGAGGCUAUGAUACCAUGAAAUUUGGCUAAAGAAGCAGGUGCAAGAUGUUUGGGAAGGCUGGUGGCCGGAAGGGGGAGCUACCACAGCAGCCGUGGGCACUGGCUUCACAGAUGUGACAAAUCGAAGGAGCUCAUUGUGUUUCACCGUAGGCUGGACAGAGUGGAAGCCUUAACUCCUACCUGCGUGCUCGCUCUCCGUCACCGGCACAUCGUGGAGGCCGCACCCCUGCCGGAGGGCUCGCUCCGAGCAACCGCCCCAUUGCCCCACCCCACCCUGGUGGGGCUUCACUGUCGUCAAGUGGAGAUACAUCCAUCCGAGCUCAUACUCGACAUUGGCAGUAACCCUACUCUCAAAUUGCGUAAUUAAUUGAUAUUUUUCUUCUCUGUUGUGAUGCAAAUCAAAUCCUUUCUCAUCACUCCAGUUCUCUAUAGAGUUAUUACUGCAAUAUUUUUUCUGAGGAUUUUGUAUGUACGAUUCAGGUUCAGCUAAACCCCCAUGCCACACGUGAACGCCAAGGCAGCUGUGGCACCGCCAAGGAAGUGAAAGGGUGGAUCCAGCGCUGGAGACGAUGGUGUUGCUCGCAUGUCUGGACCAGGCCCUGAAGCGCUGGAGACGAUGGUGUUGCUUUCACGGACGUGCAACUAAGCUUUGACCGCCGCCUCUUCAAGGUGUAACAGGAAACUGAUGCAUAGAGUUUGGUAGAAGAUUAGAAAAAGCCGAUGUACAUGACCAAGACACUUCUUGAUUGAAGAAUAUAGCUUGCAAAGAUUACGACUAAGCUUCUAGCUAGGAGGUGACAAUUAGUAAAAUUAUUGGAUCAUCUUUUAUGAUGGUGUACUGUGCUUAGAUAUAUGUGUGUAGUACUGAAGUGGGAAGAGUCAAGUGAAACGAAGAUUGCUUGUAAUGCAUGAACAGUUGCGAGUGUACCAGUUAGAUCAACUUUAUACUAUACAUUGGUCUUCUUAGUUGA